CCUACGGGAGGCUGCAGUGAGGAAUAUUGGUCAAUGGACGCAAGUCUGAACCAGCCAUGCCGCGUGCAGGAAGACGGCUCUAUGAGUUGUAAACUGCUUUUGUACGAGGGUAAACGCAGAUACGCGUAUCUGUCUGAAAGUAUCGUACGAAUAAGGAUCGGCUAACUCCGUGCCCGCAGCCGCGGUAAUACGGAGGAUUCAAGCGUUAUCCGGAUUUAUUGGGUUUAAAGGGUGCGUAGGCGGUCGGAUAAGUUAGAGGUGAAAUCCCGAGGCUCAACUUCGGAAUUGCCUCUGAUACUGUUCGGCUAGAGAGUAGUUGCGGUAGGCGGAAUGUAUGGUGUAGCGGUGAAAUGCUUAGAGAUCAUACAGAACACCGAUUGCGAAGGCAGCAUACCAAGCUACUUCUGACGUUGAGGCACGAAAGCGUGGGGAGCAAACAGGAUUAGAUACCCGUGUAGUC
rnacentral:rRNA from 1 species